UUUUUGCAUGGAUUAGGAAGAGAUGUUUGAUAAAUAAGGAAUACAAGUCAUAGAUCCAAGCAAAACCUUACCUUAGAUGAUGAUUUUUGUGGAAGAACCUUCUUGAAUGCUUCCUAAUUUUCGAGAUUUUGGAUGGAGAGGGAGAGAUGUUCUUGAGUGAUCUAGGGAGAAUUUGUGAGAGAUUUUUGGUGUGUGUGUGUGUAUGGCCGAGAGUGAGAGAGAGAGGAGAGAAGAAGAGAUGUGAUCUUGAAGUGAUAUGCAUGGAAGAAUGGGAAAUAAUGCAUGGAAGUCCUAUGGGUAAUAGUGAGGUGGCAACCAAAGUCAACUUCUCUUCUUAUCCUCUUGAGUUUGGGCCUUGGGCCGAGAAUGGUGGGGAAAAAAAAGAUUUUUGGGCUUUUUGCCCUUAAGCCCAAUAUUUGAGGUAGUUUGGGUGUUCAUUGGCCUUAUAAAAUAAAAUUGUGAUUUUUAUGCUUUAUUAAGCUAGGUUAGGUUAAAUUAUGGAUCAAAGCUUGUGAUUUAUUUCAUUCUAGGUCCAACAUGGCCCAAAAUGAUGAAAUAAUUUAGUGUGGGUCCAAUUAGAGCCCAAUUAGGGUUCUAAGCCCAUGAUAGUCCAAUUGGAAGCUUAUUGGUCCACUUGGAUCCAAUAAGGAAGUUCUAGUCCAAAAUAGACUUAACAAGAACUUCUAGGGUUUUCCAAUUGUUUGAUGACUACUUGUAGUACUUGUGUAAUGUAUUUACUUGAAGUUUUUGAUUCACAUUAACUNGACUUAACAAGAACUUCUAAGGUUUUCCAAUUG
rnacentral:lncRNA from 1 species